rnacentral:rRNA from 1 species
GUCGAGCGGAACGAGUUGUUUGACCUUCGGGGGACGACAACGGCGUCGAGCGGCGGACGGGUGAGUAAUGCCUGGGAAAUUGCCCUGAUGUGGGGGAUAACCAUUGGAAACGAUGGCUAAUACCGCAUGAUAGCUUCGGCUCAAAGAGGGGGACCUUCGGGCCUCUCGCGUCAGGAUAUGCCCAGGUGGGAUUAGCUAGUUGGUGAGGUAAGGGCUCACCAAGGCGACGAUCCCUAGCUGGUCUGAGAGGAUGAUCAGCCACACUGGAACUGAGACACGGUCCAGACUCCUACGGGAGGCAGCAGUGGGGAAUAUUGCACAAUGGGCGCAAGCCUGAUGCAGCCAUGCCGCGUGUAUGAAGAAGGCCUUCGGGUUGUAAAGUACUUUCAGCAGUGAGGAAGAUGGUGUGUUUAAUACGUACAUCAUUUGACGUUAGCUGCAGAAGAAGCACCGGCUAACUCCGUGCCAGCAGCCGCGGUAAUACGGAGGGUGCGAGCGUUAAUCGGAAUUACUGGGCGUAAAGCGCAUGCAGGUGGUUUGUUAAGUCAGAUGUGAAAGCCCGGGGCUCAACCUCGGAAUAGCAUUUGAAACUGGCAGACUAGAGUACUGUAGAGGGGGGUAGAAUUUCAGGUGUAGCGGUGAAAUGCGUAGAGAUCUGAAGGAAUACCGGUGGCGAAGGCGGCCCCCUGGACAGAUACUGACACUCAGAUGCGAAAGCGUGGGGAGCAAACAGGAUUAGAUACCCUGGUAGUCCACGCCGUAAACGAUGUCUACUUGGGAGGUUGUGGCCUUGAGCCGUGGCUUUCGGAGCUAACGCGUUAAGUAGACCGCCUGGGGGAGUACGGUCGCAAGAUUAAAACUCAAAUGAAUUGACGGGGGCCCGCACAAGCGGUGGAGCAUGUGGGUUUAAUUCGAUGCAACGCGAAGAACCUUACCUACUCUUGACAUCCUCAGAAGAGACUGGAGACAGUCUUGUGCCUUCGGGAACUGAGAGACAGGUGCUGCAUGGCUGUCGUCAGCUCGUGUUGUGAAAUGGUUGGGGUUAAGUCCCGCAACGAGCGCAACCCUUAUCCUUGUUUGC